ACAGGCUAAUAAACUGUUUUUUUUUUUUUUGGAAUAACAGUUAGUAGCCUUGGUUACGAAUGUUUUUCAAUUACAAAACAUCAACAGAGCAGAAUGAAAUGUAAUAAAUUAUUAUGACUAUAAAAUAUAAUGAAUAACCUGAGAAGAAUCAGAGACGACCAAAGACCACAAAACAGCCAAACACAGAACUGCAGUCUCGUAUAUCCUUGCAGAUGGACUAAUCAACGAUCAUAAAACGAGAAUUUAAGACAUGUAAUGGAAAUCCACAACAGUAAUCUGAUUGUAAUAUGUUACGAGCAUAGGUUCUACGAGUGAUCGUUUGCACGCUCAGUAACAAGAAAACCUGAAAAAUCAGGCGUGAACCUCACAAAAAAAAACGGAAAGACUUACAAGUGCGAAGUUUGCAGACGCAGACUUAUUCUAUGAGCAUGGGGCUAUGCACAUCAGUGUAGUCCUUCUACACGAAGACGAUCGAGCAAUUGAAAAAACGAGCUACAUCAAUACAACUUGGUGUUCGCCAGGCUGUUCUGGAACUACCCACGUAGGUUUUAAUGCCGACCAAUGAGGAUAGUACCAAUCGGACAAUCAUUUCUGCUUCGUACUUUAUAUCCAUUUAAUUGUGAAAUACUUAUCUAUCAUGAAACGAUCCACGUUAUUGUAGUUGCAAUCUGAAUGUUCUUUUUCCCCCUAAAUAGCCAUCGAACUUAGAUAAGUAAACGCGCAAACAGUAA